GGGAAAUGACCUUUCUACUUACUGAAACAGGGAAAGCAAAUGAGGAGCUUUUAAGAGGGAGAAUUGAGAACACAGUUUAAGGUCUCUCUGCAAAGUGUGCGAUAUGCAUUGGGCACUUGGAUAGAGCCCAGAGUCCAGAAGGAAACAGAGAGCCAUCAAGACGGUUCACUGGUGAUGGGAGAUGUCCUUCUGUGUAUACGUUUGUCUUAUCAGUUGAUGAAUAAAACACUGAUUGGCCAGGCAGGAUGAUAGGUUGGAUUAGGAUAUGAGGAGGAUUCUGGGAAGUGUAGGCAGAGAGAUGUUGUCAUGUGAUUCCAGGAAGUGAUAUAGCUGGGCAGAAAAUGCCACUAGCUAACCAUAGAGUUCUGGAGGUCUGUACAGACAGGCAGGAAGUGACAUAACUGGGAAGAUUCAGAAUAUAAGCAGGGACAAACAGGAAAUCACUCUCUUCUCUGCAGAGAUGUAGCAGGCAAAGGAGCUGCAGGUCUGGCAUUCCCGGGAAGCCAAGACCACGUGGAAAUACAUGGAUUAGUAGUUAUGGGUUAAUAAUUUAAAACACAGGUAGCCAAAUAAGAAGCCAUAGUCACUGGCCAACAAUUUCAUAAUUAAUAUAGCAUCUGUGUGUUUCUUUGGGGCUGAGAAGGGCAGCAGGACCUACCGGGACAAGAAAGCUCUAGUUACACACUGGUCAAGAACACAAACUCCUCUUGCAGCAACUCCAAGUUCAGGUCCCAGAAUCCAUGUCAGGUGGUGAUCCAACACCCUCUUUUGGCUUCCAUACACACCUGCACUCAUGUGUACAUACAUACAUGUAUACAUGAUUACAAUUUUUUAAAAAAAAAUAAGUUAAAGAUUAUAAUGGCUUCAUGCAGAGUUUGAAGCCAGCCUGGGUGAGGUGUGGUGGUGUCUGCUUUUAAUCACAGCGCCUGACAGUCAGAGGCAGGAAGAUCUCUGUGAGUUCCAGGUCAGGCCAGUCUAUAUAGAGAGUUCCUGGCCAGGCAUGACUACUGUGAGACCCUAUCUCAAUAAAAUAAAACAAUAAAAUAAAGUUAAUAUCAUUCCCUGUGAACCCAGUGUACUGUAGAAGGUACAGAGUUGCUGUAUCACAAUAUUUUAGAUUGUAUUCUGUAUGAAGCCUUAAAAAGAUUUCUAUUCCCAGAUGCCUAUUUUUAAUUUGAACGAGUGAAAAUGAUAUUUUAAUAUUAAAAUUGCUGGGCAUGGUGGCUCACACUUGUAAUUUCAGUGUUGAAGCUGAGACAGGAAGAUGGCCUGAAGCUCAGGUCAGCCUGGUAACAGAGUGAGACUUCAAAAAUACUGAAGAAAAAUGAUAAGGCCUGUGCUAUAUCCCCAGAACUGCUUAAACCAGGAGUAGUGGCAAACACACACACACACACACACACACACACGCAACUCAGCACUUAGACUGUGGAGUGGAAGGCUCAGUAAUUCAAGAUCAUCCUGGGCUAAAAAGUGAAUUUGGGGCCAGCCUGGGCUACACAUUUUAAAAGCCAAAACAACAACAACAAAAUUGAACAGUAAAGAUUCACCAGUGUUUUUGUUCAUGAGUACACAAAAGAAACAAUGUCAUAUUAUAGUAGCCAAGGAUGCCAACAGCAGGUCAUGCUUCAAGAAGGCAGCAGUGACCCACCUUAGGGGCUGAAAUGAAGAGGAAGACAGCCAGUUACCCAUGUCGGUGUAGGUCAUUAGUGAAUGGAACACAAUUGCUAUGGUGUGGUCAGGUGUGGGCCAUAUUGGAGAGGUCUGACAGUAUGGUAAGCAAACAUGAGUGGGGCUAUGAGUGUGAUCUGAGGUGGAUCAAUUCUUACACCUGAAAUACCAGGUACCUGGGGGCCCUUUUUAUCCUUUGUGUCUUUUUGUUUCUUUGUUCUUUGUUUUGUGACUAUAGCUAGAGAGGCAAAGCUACAGUCCUGAAAUAGCUUCUCUUCCCUCUUCCUGCUCACCCUUCUUGAGUUUAUAGCAUCUGGGUGUGGUGAGACCCAGGAAUAGCAUACAACCCUGUGAAUCACAGCCCCACCAGCCAAUGGGUGACAUCCAACCCUGUGAACACAGCCCCACCAGCAAGUGGGUGACAUCCAACCCUGUGACACAGCCCCACCAGCCAAUGGGUGACAUCCAACCCUGUGAUCACAGCCCCACCAGCCAAUGGGUGACAUCCAACCCUGUGAUCACAGCCCCACCAGCCAAUGGGUGACAUACAACCCUGUGAUCACAGCCCCACCAGCCAAUGGGUGACAUCCAACCCUGUCCCCACCCAGCCAAUGGGUGACAUCCAACCCUGUGAACACAGCCCCACCAGCCAAUGGGUGACAUCCAACCCUGUGAUCACAGCCCCACCAGCCAAUGGGUGACAUCCAACCCUGUGAUCACAGCCCCACCAGCCAAUGGGUGACAUCCAACCCUGUGAACACAGCCCCACCAGCCAAUGGGUGACAUCCAACCCUGUGAACACAGCCCCACCAGCCAAUGGGUGACAUACAACCCUGUGACACAGCCCCACCAGCCAAUGGGUGACAUCCAACCCUGUGAUCACAGCCCCACCAGCCAAUGGGUGACAUACAACCCUGUGAUCACAGCCCCACCAGCCAAUGGGUGACAUACAACCCUGUGAACACAGCCCCACCAGCCAAUGGGUGACAUCCAACCCUGUGAACACAGUCCACCAGCCAAUGGGUGACAUACAACCCUGUGAUCACAGCCCCACCAGCCAAUGGGUGACAUCCAACCCUGUGAUCACAGCCCCACCUGCCAAUGGGUGACAUACAACCCUGUGAACAGCAACUUUGACUCUGAGCCUUAGGGCUGAAUCCUCAAGUUCCAUCGGGGACAGGAGCUGGGAGUGGGGUUAAACAAACAGAAACCUUUAAUACAUACGUUAAUUGCCAAUAUUAAUGUACACAAUAAUUUAAACUGCUACAUAGAAUUUACAUUCCAGGAGUAUGUCAGCAUUUCCAUCAAACACUUACUAAUUGGCUAUUUCAACUGUUUUUGUUUUUCUCUCAUAACGGUAAUGCCAUCUCAUUUUCACACAUAUACUCUUAAAUUAUUAUUAUUAUUCCCUGAGCAUAAUGUUGUGAAAUGAAAGUGUAAAACCCAAGUGCCACAGGGUUUUGUCCUGUCACUGGAGGUCCCUCUAGGAGAGCUGCAUCCACCUGCCUUCCCAUCAGUGACCUAUAGCUGCAGGUCGUUCAAUGUAAGCAUUUUCCAAAUAAUAGAAUUUUAGUUUUUCAGAGUGCAUGUGUCCAGCUAUAAAUAAACAAGCAAUAACUAAAUGAUUCUUCUGCCGCCUCAUGCCAGAAUAUUCUUGGAUCCCAAGGAAACAAACUAAACCCAGACUUCAACCUUACAGGCUGCAUGAUUCUUCGUGUGUACAUGUGUGCAUGUGUGUGUGCGCGUGUGCAUAUGCGUGCUUGUGUUUGUGCUCAUGUGUGUGUGUCUCUGUGUGUGUGUCUCUGUGUGUGUCUCUGUGUGUGUGUCUCUGUGUGUGUGUGUCUGUCUGUCUGUCUCUGUGUGUGUGUCUCUGUGUGUGUGUGUGUGUGUGUCUCUGUGUGUGUCUCUGUGUGUGUGUCUCUGUGUGUGUGUGUUUGUGUGUAUCUGUCUGUCUGUCUCUGUGUGUGUGUGUGUGUGUGUCUGUGUGUGUGUGUCUCUGUGUGUGUGUCUGUCUGUCUGUCUCUGUGUGUGUGUCUCUGUGUGUAUGUCUCUCUGUGUGUGUGUGUGUGUGUGGGUGCAUGUGUGUGGUCUUGGGAUCACACCCAGGACCCCCUGGCUAGGCAGGCACUCUACCACUGAGCUUCACCCCAGCCCCUCACAAACACUUUUCUGAUAGGGAAGAAGCCAUAGUUCUUGUUUGUCUGGCACUGGUUUUGAACUCGUGAUCCUCCUGCCUCCACCUCCCACAUACUAGGCUGUGUCAGCACCCCUCCCUGUGACAAAGGUCCACUGGUCAUAUUCUCAGAAGCCUUAGUCCUCUCUGUUGAGGCUUGCUUCCUGUUCUUGUCAGCCUUGUAUUUUGGACCCUGCCUUUAUCUUGAAUUACUUGAAUGUAUUUUGGAUUUAUUUAUAUCCCAGGAAGCAUCCAGAUUUUUCUGUUGAUGUCCAUGUAGCUUAGCUGUGGAGCUAUAGUUUCUGUUUUCCUCCUUUGUGGGCUACCAUGAACCCAUCUGGAUCAGACCACUCACACAACUUACCAAGAUAACUGGCUUCUGUUAUUUAUCAAUGCACAGUGGCCCCAGGGCCAUGGUAUACAUAGUUCUACUGGGAUGCAAACUUGCUCCUUUGUGAAUGUAUUGUCUGUGGCUGCUUUGCUGACUCGACAGGGGUGUUGAACUAUAAAAUAUUUUCUGUCUGUGCCUGUCAUAGAGAAGUAAGCUGUCUAUGCUCUUAGGCUGACUAGCCUUGAAGUUCUGGGAGAUGACCUUGGAUUUCCCCCAGUCCCGAGCUCCCUGACUUCAGAGAGUGGGGCUUUGGUCUGCUAGGUAUCUCUUUAUCUAGUUCCUGCCACACCUCUUACUCAAAGAAAUCACUCAGUCCCCUCGGUCUUAGUUACUGUUCUAGUGCUGUGAUAAAACCACAACCAGGGCAACUUUUACAGGGAUUAUUUAAUUGGGAAUUGCUCACAGUUUCAGAGGGCAUGGAGCAUGGUGCCUGGCAGGUAGGUAUGGUGCUGUAGCUGUAGCUGUAGCUGUAGCUGUAAUUGAGAGCUCACAUUCGAUCCACAAGCACAUGGCAGAAACAGAGCAAGACAGCCUGGUGUGAGCGUUUGAAAACCUCAAAGGCCACCCACAGUGAUGUAGCUUCUCCAACAAGACCACACCUCCUGAUCCUCCCCAAAUAGUUCCACUGAUUGGGAACCAAGUGAAAGGUUCAGGCAUUAUGCUGGCCUGCCCCUGUUACCUGGUGGAAUCCACUCAGGCAAUACCCUGGUCAGCCCAAGGUUCCAUGGGAAAGAAGUCUGCACGCAGGUGCAGAGGACCCCUUUAAAAGAUAGGCUCUCUGCCCCUUUACGCUCGCGCUCUUUCUCUCUCUCUCCCCCUGUUCCUGCUCUCUGUCCCCUCUCUCUGUUUCCCCGCUCUGUCUCUCUAUGGCGACCGGCCAUGGUGGUCAGCCAUUACCCUGUUCCUCUUCUUAGUCUACCCAUUCUGCCUUAUAAUAAACUUAUAGUCAAUAUGUCUGUCUCAAUAUUUCUCUUUUCUUCUUUUUAAACAAAAGAAUAACAUUUUGGCGCCCAACGUGGAAAGGCUCUGCCCUUAUACCUUCUGCGACCUGCUGGCGGGCGCAUGUUAGGCUAAGGGUAACCUUACAAUCCACUUCCAUCUCCGCUUUUCCUGGCACUCCCUCCUGCCUGCAACAGCCUGAGAUGCCGGAACUCAACUUGCGGCUUUUCCAACUAAGUAUUUCUGGAACUCACUGAUCUGCCUAUUCGCUACAAUCCGGUCGCAAGUUAUCAGCAAGAAGGCAGGUGUCCUGCAGCCCACUACUAUGGAUGGAGCACCUUGGGGAUGGCUGUCCAUGCAGCCUGCUGGCAAGUCUCUGUUAUUCUUUAAUCAUUGAUUCAGGUAAAAUCUUAUCCUUCUCAAGAACUCUGAUGCUUUUGACGACUGAUAGUCUUGCCGGCUUAAAGCAAAACAGAUUCCAGUAACAGGUAUUUUAGGGUUUAUCUAUAUAAAGAUAGGAAAGUCUAAGAAUGUAGUUACGAAGGCCUGAGGAUAUAAAGGCUUAAAUGAUGGCAUUUAAAAUGAUGGCAUUUAAAAUUCAUUAAAAAGAAUGAAAUAUGUUCCUGAUUUCUCUAUUUCUCAUGCUACUGUUCAUAAUAAAGUUCACCAAUACCACUAUAGGAUCAUAAUCACAAAGUCAAGAUUAAGAUGCUUUUCAUUGUCAAAAAAAAUCUGUCUGUUUUAAAAUGCUAAUGCUUUUAGCCAAGUUGCUUCUAACGUAAAUAUGCUGCUAAUGUGUCUAAUACUUAUGUUUCCACAAACUCUAAGGAUUCUUGUAAGUUCCAGGGAGCCGAAACAGAUCCAAACAGGUCAGGUUCACUCCAGGUAAUAUUCAACCUUUCCCCGGUCCCAAAUUCCCUUCACUCAUCUUGGGACACCUCGGGAACCCCUCCCUCAUCUUACAAUCUUCCCCUCAAGUCACAGGACCUAAGAAAAAAUUUUUUUUCUAAACUCAACCUUGUCUUCUGCUCUGUCAACAUCUUGCCAGGUCUAAGAGGCGCCAGGGAGUUCCAUACAGCCUGGACUACAAUGAAACAACCAGCUUCCCCAGGACGUGGCAACACCCCAACCUUCUCGGGUCCCCCAAAGAUGGUCAACGCCCCCACGUCAGCAGGAAGCAGUAUCAAGAAUUCGACGCCCUUAUUCCUUAACCUGCCAUGUCUAAACACCACACCUUUUUAAAUAAUAAGUAGAGGUGGGAAUGAAAGGUUCAGGCAUUAUGCUGGCCUGCCCCUGUUACCUGGUGGAAUCCACUCAGGCAAUACCCUGGUCAGCCCAAGGUUCCAUGGGAAAGAAGUCUGCACGCAGGUGCAGAGGACCCCUUUAAAAGAUAGGCUCUCUGCCCCUUUACGCUCGUGCUCUUUCUCUCUCUCCCCCUGUUCCUGUCUCUCUCACUCUCUCUCUCUCUCUCUCUCUCUCUCUCUCUCUCUCUCUC
ensembl:lncRNA